rnacentral:rRNA from 1 species
AGCGGACGCUGGCGGCAGGCCUAACACAUGCAAGUCGAACGAAGCCUUCGGACUUAGUGGCGGACGGGUGAGUAACACGUGGGAACGUGCCUUUAGGUUCGGAAUAACCCAGGGAAACUUGUGCUAAUACCGAAUGUGCCCUUCGGGGGAAAGAUUUAUCGCCUUUAGAGCGGCCCGCGUCUGAUUAGCUAGUUGGUGAGGUAAAGGCUCACCAAGGCUACGAUCAGUAGCUGGUCUGAGAGGAUGACCAGCCACAUUGGGACUGAGACACGGCCCAAACUCCUACGGGAGGCAGCAGUGGGGAAUCUUGCGCAAUGGGCGAAAGCCUGACGCAGCCAUGCCGCGUGGAUGAUGAAGGUCUUAGGAUUGUAAAAUCCUUUCACCGGUGAAGAUAAUGACUGUAGCCGGAGAAGAAGCCCCGGCUAACUUCGUGCCAGCCGCCGCUGUAACAC